AAAAUAUCAUGGAUAAUGUUGCAAUAAAGUAAUGAACCAGGCUGCAUCUAUAGGUUCGCUUAUAUUAGUGGGGAAAAAAUCGUUUGUGUUUUUGUGCACUGAAGAAAUUAAAAGUAUCACUGUGUAGUCGCUUUGACUACUGGGGAAAGGGAACCGCGGUGACUGUAACAUCAGAUUCUAAAUCACCACCGAAUGUGUUCCCAAUGUCUCAGUGUCAAUCUUCCUCGGAUUCCCUAUUUAUUGGCUGUCUGGCCUCUGAUUCUCUUAAUUUAAAACUGAAGGACAGUGGGAAAGACCUGACUGGUAUCAUCGAGUACCCUCCAGUGAAAACUGGAGACAAGACAUUUCAAGUCAGUCUUUUGAGUAUUACCAAACAGAAAAUGGAGCAAAGCAACAUAACUUGUGAUGCAGAGAACCAAAUUGGCAAAGUUAGUAAACAAUUCAAAGUGAAUCCACAAGAACCAACCCUGAGCUUGGUUCCUGUAAUAACGCAGAAAAAUACAUUUGCCAUGUGUGUUAUUGAGGAUUUUUACCCCAUGGACAUCACUGCACGUUGGAAAGAAAAUGAUGUAUACAGUCAGAGACGGACAAAAUUGGAAUACAAACGCAAUACUGAAGGUCUUUUCACAGCACACAGUUUUUAUGAAGUCAGCAGCAAGACUUGGAAUGAAAAAACUCGCUAUACCUGUGAGGUCACAUACCAGAAAAAACUGAUUACUUUGACGAAGAAUUUCAAAGCUACAUUCGGAUUAACGCUAAAUCCACCAAUUGAGAGAGAACUAUUUGUCAAUAAUAAAACUGUCUUGGAAGCUGUUGUUUCUGGAGAUGUAAAAGAGAUGGUGCAAGCAGCUUUAGUGUCGUGCAAAGUGAAGGAUGAAAACGUAGCCAGUAUCACAUCAGAAAAUAUUGUCCCUUCUACAGACACUUCACAGUUUACGAAAAAACACAAAGUCAUCAUUGAUACAAAUAAAUGGUUUGAUGGUGAAUAUGUCACUUGCACCAUCCAUGACACAAAUAAUAACAGACCCAUCGAGCAGAAGAUCCAUUUUGAUAAAGGAGAUGGAAGGAAACCCAAUGCUACCAUUUACAGACCUGAUGAUAUCAAGGCAGAUCCUGUCUCUCUGGUGUGCAAGGUCACCAGCUCUAAUCUUGGCAAUGUCUAUAUCAUGUGGAAAGUGGGUGAUGAGUCUUACAAAGAGGGCAGAACCAGUGCUCCAAUCCGUCAAAAUGACUCCACGUCUAUUCUCAGCAUCCUAACAAUCCCAAAGAAAACAUAUGAAAAACCCCAAACCACCGUCACCUGCGCAGUCAAACAUGCCAACAUGGACAAAAUAGGAUCUCCACUACAAGUGACAACAAGCCAAACAGAGCCACCUGAGCCAGAGAAGGGUUUUGCUCUGAACUGUAAUAAUGAUGCUCUGGAGGAGGAUGAGUUCAGAAGUCUCUGGUCCACUGCCACUUCAUUCAUCUUCCUCUUCCUCUUUUCUCUGACAUACAGCGCUGUACUCAGCCUCUUAAGGAUGAAGCAGUGAUGAUUUUUUCAAAAGAAUUUCUGAAGACUCCAAGGUUUCUUACGUCGAAUAUACAUAAUGUGUCUCUAUAUACACAUUUUUGAAGAUAUUGACAAAUAUGUACUCAGUGUUCACAC